rnacentral:lncRNA from 1 species
CGAGGAAGGUCAGUCAUGGAGGGGUGGUCAGGGGAGCCGGUAAACUUGCUUUCAGGUCUGUUGGUGCUUGCGUUGGAAGGCAAAACUUUAACUUGGAGCUGAGAUUUGCAAAGUAGGGUCUUUGGGUCAAAUCCGGUCCCCAGCCUGUUUGUUGUAAAUUAAGUUUUAUUGGAACACAGCCACACCCAUCAUUUACAUAUUAUCUGCAGCUGUUUUUGGAGCUACAAAAGCAGAGAUGAAUAGACGUGACCUGCAAAGCCUGAAAUAUUCGCCAUCUGGCCCUUUACAGAAAACAUUUGCCCACACUUUCAUUAGAGGGUUCCUUUGACACAGACAGAAGAGAAGGUGAUGUGGCCACAGAGGCAGAGACUGGGAUGAUGUGGCCACAAGCCAAGGAAUGCCUGCAGCCAUCAGCAGCUGGAGAGACAAGGAAUGAAUUCUUCCCAAAGAGAGAGGAAUUCUGCACACUGGUGAUAUUUGGUGAGAGGUGAACUCAUGUAUACCAUGACCAUAUUUCCUAUACCCCAAAUCAGGAUGUAUUAUCUGAAACUUAUUAAUAUUCCGUGCUCCACAAGUGCAGAAAAUUCAAAUUGUCAUUAGUAGCUAUGUGAUUAACCAACGGAUUUUAUUGAAAGAAUAACAUUACAUGAAAAUGUAAUGGUUUCAGAAUAUCUGGAGUGUAUGGAGGCUGAAUGGAAGAUUUAUUUAACCAGAGGAAGGCCAGAAAAAGGGGUUAUAUGUGUCCCUGGAC